rnacentral:rRNA from 1 species
UACGUAGGGUGCGAGCGUUGUCCGGAAUUAUUGGGCGUAAAGAGCUCGUAGGCGGUUUGUCACGUCUGCUGUGAAAUCCCGAGGCUCAACCUCGGGCCUGCAGUGGGUACGGGCAGGCUAGAGUUCGGUAGGGGAGACUGGAAUUCCUGGUGUAGCGGUGAAAUGCGCAGAUAUCAGGAGGAACACCGGUGGCGAAGGCGGGUCUCUGGGCCGAUACUGACGCUGAGGAGCGAAAGCGUGGGGAGCGAACAGG